ACGGCAGCACGGGUGCUUGCACCUGGUGGCGAGUGGCGAACGGGUGAGUAAUAUAUCGGAACGUGCCUCAUAGUGGGGGAUAACGCAGCGAAAGCUGUGCUAAUACCGCAUACGCCCUGAGGGGGAAAGCGGGGGACCGUAAGGCCUCGCGCUAUGAGAGCGGCCGAUACCUGAUUAGCUUGUUGGUGGGGUAAAAGCCCACCAAGGCGACGAUCAGUAGCUGGUCUGAGAGGACGAUCAGCCACACUGGGACUGAGACACGGCCCAGACUCCUACUGGAGGCAGCAGUGGGGAAUUUUGGACAAUGGGGGCAACCCUGAUCCAGCAAUGCCGCGUGAGUGAAGAAGGCCUUCGGGUUGUAAAGCUCUUUUGUCAGGGAAGAAACAGCAGCUCUAACACAGUCUGCGAAUGACGGUACCUGAAGAAUAAGCACCGGCUAACUACGUGCCAGCAGCCGCGGUAAUACGUAGGGUGCGAGCGUUAAUCGGAAUUACUGGGCGUAAAGCGUGCGCAGGCGGUUAUACAAGACAGGCGUGAAAUCCCCGGGCUUAACCUGGGAAUGGCGCCUGUGACUGUAUAGCUAGAGUGUGUCAGAGGGGGGUAGAAUUCCACGUGUAGCAGUGAAAUGCGUAGAUAUGUGGAGGAAUACCAAUGGCGAAGGCAGCCCCCUGGGAUAACACUGACGCUCAUGCACGAAAGCGUGGGGAGCAAACAGGAUUAGAUACCCUGGUAGUCCACGCCCUAAACGAUGCUGACUAGUUGUUGGGAAUUUACAUUCUCAGUAACGUAGCUAACGCG
rnacentral:rRNA from 1 species